AUAUCGCAAACCCUACAAGUUUAGGAGCCCGUGCAUUGCUGCAUUUUUCAUUUGUGUGGGUACGUUUUAUAUCAUCAACACUUUUGUAAUCAUAAGAUGCAUUUUUCAUUUGUGUGCAUAAUCUUUAUAUAAUCUUGGAGUACGCUUUUGGUACUAAUAUUAUGUUCUAUGCUCAAUGAAGAGUUUAUCCAUGGGUACCCUAUCAAUGGUGCUGGAUUCUGUUAAGACCUUACAUGGUUAUUGGCUUGCUAGUCUCACCAAGACAUAGAUGACACCCAAAGUUGAGGAAUAUCUGGAUGAUCAUCAAAUACCGGUGAGCCCCAAAUAUCAUUUCCCUUAAGAAAUAUUAUUUCUUUUCAAUAUUCCACUCUUUUUUAAUUAUUAUAUCUGAUAUGUAUUUGGAAGAUAUGGUAGGUAUAUGAAUAUUAUGACAUCCGGCAACAAGUAAUUAUAAUGGGUGCGCUCAUCAAAAAAAAAAUGUAAUAGUAGGUGCACAUGCGUAGUAAUCCAGCAGCUUCCGAUCCAAGCACAACAUGUAGCGACAACACCCACCGCCCACUUCCCACUACGUGCCCCCCUUAUCCACACAACACAUUGAUUCUUCUACAUCCACCUGAUGCUGUCCCUUCUCUUCUUCUCUAUCAGGGCAGCAUCAACCCCCUCUUCUCUGUCGGUGAGGAACUCCACUAGAGAUUGCGUUUUGGAGCUCCCUCUACUGUCGCUCGAUCUGGCCUCCCCCGCUCAGUUGUUGCCCCAUGCUCCGGAUCAUGCCACAGCAGGCCUCGCCCUGACCAACAGGCUCGGAUCCAUCCCUUCCCUCCUCCUGGCCUCCACAUGCGUAGACUGUGGCGCCAGAUCAAGGGAGCCUGCCAAUGGAGGUCGCCGCCUCUCCGUCUCGAUCGGUCCGCCGCCGGAUCCACCAUGCUGUGCCAUGGGAUGGGCGCCUUGCAGCUAGCUCCUCUGCCGUCGCCUGAUCUGCCUGCCCCCGGUCGUGCUCCAGAUUCGGCUAACAGCCUCGCCUCUGACCCGAUUCAGACAUGCACCCACACAGCCUCACUCCGCCACCUGCGCCCCAGGUCUGACCGAUCCUGCGCCGCUCAUCCUUGCUUCUUUUUUUAAGUCAACCCCGCUGUUUCUUUUGCUCGCAGCUUGCGAGGAGGCCAGGCCGCGCCUCGUCUAGCUGCGGCCUACCUGUUGUGUCAGUCAGCCCAGCCGCCUCGACCCGGCCUUCUCCGCCCCCAGCUCCAGGCCUCAAACAACUCCCACUUUUUGGAAAUCGCGGGUCCUCCGUCGAGCGAGGGGUGCCGGUGGUGGUGGUGUUCGCUCGGUGGACUUUGUUCCAUUUUCUUCGCUCCUUCACGCUUUGUCUAUUCCUUCUGUUCCCUUUCUCUGCUUGUUUUGAUUUCUAAUGUGGCUUGCUGGUUCUCAUGGCAACUCUCGUACACAUAUAGAUUGGUGAGAAUAUAUGUAUAUCAGCGAGGCGGGACAAUUUAAUUGAAGAACAAACUAUGUACAAAGCUCGUUGUAUCUGAAUUUAGCCACCUAAAAAGGACAGCGGGUUGAAUAAUUAAAA